GCGGCGUGCUUCAUACAUGCAAGUCGAACGAGAAGCAGGAGCUUGCUCCUGUGGAAAGUGGCGGACGGGUGAGUAACACGUAGGAAAUCUGCCUUUGGGUGGGGGACAACAGUUGGAAACGACUGCUAAUACCCCAUAUGAGCUUGGUUGCAAUACCAAUCUUGAAAACUCCGGUGCCUAAAGAUGAGCCUGCGUCUGAUUAGCUUGUUGGCGGGGUAAUGGCCCACCAAGGCGACGAUCAGUAGCCGGUUUGAGAGGAUGAUCAGCCACAAUGGGACUGAGACACGGCCCAUACUCCUACGGGAGGCAGCAGUAGGGAAUUCUGCGCAAUGGGGGAAACCCUGACGCAGCAACGCCGCGUGAAUGACGAAGCCCUUCGGGGUGUAAAGUUCUGUCAGUAGGGAAGAAUUUUGACUGUACCUACAAAGGAAGCACCGGCUAACUCCGUGCCAGCCGCCGCGGUAA
rnacentral:rRNA from 1 species